CAGCAGCCACGGGAAUACAGAGGAUGCAAGCGUUAUCCGGAAUGAUUGGGCGUAAAGCGUCUGUAGGUGGCUUCUCAAGUCCGCCGUCAAAUCCCAGGGCUCAACCCUGGACAGGCGGUGGAAACUACCAAGCUGGAGUACGGUAGGGGCAGAGGGAAUUUCCGGUGGAGCGGUGAAAUGCGUAGAGAUCGGAAAGAACACAACGGCGAAAGCACUCUGCUGGGCCGACACUGACACUGAGAGACGAAAGCUAGGGGAGCAAAUGGGAUUAGAUACCCCUGUAGUCCCUGUCUCUUAUACA
rnacentral:rRNA from 1 species